rnacentral:rRNA from 1 species
UACGAAGGGGGCUAGCGUUGUUCGGAUUUACUGGGCGUAAAGCGCACGUAGGCGGGUCGUUAAGUCGGGGGUGAAAUCCUGGAGCUCAACUCCAGAACUGCCUUCGAUACUGGCGACCUAGAGUCCGGAAGAGGUGAGUGGAACUCCUAGUGUAGAGGUGGAAUUCGUAGAUAUUAGGAAGAACACCAGUGGCGAAGGCGGCUCACUGGUCCGGUACUGACGCUGAGGUGCGAAAGCGUGGGGAGCGAACAGG